rnacentral:rRNA from 1 species
UACGUAGGGUGCAAGCGUUGUCCGGGAAUUAUUGGGCGUAAAGAGCUCGUAGGCGGUCUGUUGCGUCGGCUGUGAAAACCCGGGGCUCAACUCCGGGCCUGCAGCCGAUACGGGCAGACUAGAGUUCGGCAGGGGAGACUGGAAUUCCUGGUGUAGCGGUGAAAUGCGCAGAUAUCAGGAGGAACACCGGUGGCGAAGGCGGGUCUCUGGGCCGAUACUGACGCUGAGGAGCGAAAGCGUGGGGAGCGAACAGG